rnacentral:rRNA from 1 species
AACGAACGCUGGCGGCAGGCCUAACACAAGCAAGUCGAACGAACCGUUUACGGUGAGUGGCGCACGGGUGAGUAACACGGGGGAAUAUACAUUUCGGUAAGGAAUAACGUAGAGAAAUUUACGCUAAUACCGUAUAAUGACUACGGUCCAAAGAUUUAUCGCCGAAGGAUUAGCCAGCGUUAGAUUAGGUAGUUGGUAGGGUAAUGGCCUACCAAGCCUACGAUCUAUAGCCGGUCUUAGAGGAUGAUCAGCCACACUGGAACUGAGACACGGUCCAGACUCCUACGGGAGGCAGCAGUGAGGAGUAUUGCCCAAUGGGGGAAACCCUGACGCAGCCAUGCCGCGUGAGUGACGAAGGCCGUAGGGUUGUAAAGCUCUUUCAGAUGUAAAGAUAAUGACGGUAACAUCAGAAGAAGCUCCGGCUAAAUUCGUGCCAGCAGCCGCAGUAA